CACAAUUUUAAGGAAAACUAACAGUCUUCUAACCUAGAAUUUUGAAAAAGGAAUCAACCAUUAGGAAGAUGACAUUGGCUGCCCCAAUCAAAUCUAUUGUCAAUGGCGUGAUGAAGAUGGCACUGGAAAUCGUGGAACCUACCAUACAAGAAUGUUCUCAUGAGGAGCGCAGGGAAGUAGAAGAACUUAUGAAAUGCUGCGCUGUAAAGGAAGCUACCCUGACCAACUCCCUUGCCCUCAAAACUUCCGGAUGCAGAAUUGCGAGAAAAGGUCCGAAAGCUUCUCUCGAAUGACGAUUAUAGGAAAAUAUGCGAGUAUGUCGAUAAAGAAACAUUUACGAUGACGAUUACGGGCUCUGAAGCAACCUUUGAGCGUGGAGGCAAAAGAUUCCUUGACCCCAUACAACUUAACUCCAUGGAAUGCAUUACAAAUGCCAGUAUUUACCAAAUAGCUAGCAUUUACAUUGAAAGCAUAUUUCUGGUUCUAGGUGUCAUUGGAAUUAAACUAAGCUUUGAUGAGGCCUUGAUACACAAAAUAAUCAAAGAAAUCAUUCCAAUCGUGGAGCAGCCCGCUUUCAGAAGAAUCAUAGAUGAAUUUGUUCACAGCUGGAUAUCAGGAAAUGCUUGGGGAAAGGCAAAGGCAAUUUUCACUUUACUGAAAGACACCUAUUCUUUUGGCAUAUUCUGGAAAGUUGUUAAAAUCGCUUUUUCGGAAAUGUCAUGGAUGGAACGAAUCAAAAAUCUCGUCCUGGUUGCCACGAUGAUUGUUGCUGCAUUUGCAACAGACGGUAUUGCCCUCAUUGCCAGCAUCUCUGUCAAUGAUGCAUACAACCUUGCGAAAAAGAUCAUUAACAUGACAAAAUUGAAAGCUUUGGCCUCAGAUCUUAAAAAAAUAGGAUGCUAGCUCAAUGGACUGCGUGAAAAAAAAAUUACCUAAUUGCCUGA